AUGGCGUCGGAGAUCGAGGUGCUCGAGGACACCACCGCCGCUGCGGCGUCCACCGCGGCGGUGGCGCCCGCGGAGGCGCCGUCGGUGGCGGAGGCGGCGGCGGAGGAGGCGCUCAAGGACGACGUGUACACGGCGGCGGCGUACGGCGAUCUGGAGAAGCUGCAGCGGCUGGUGGAGGCGGAGGGCCGCCCCGUCGGCGGCACCGACGCCUCCGGCUACUACGCGCUCCAGUGGGCCGUCCUCAACAACCGCGUCGCCGCCGCGCAGUACAUCCUCGAGCAUGGUGGAGAUGUAAAUGCUGUGGAUCACACUGGGCAGACAGCACUUCACUGGAGUUCCGUACGUGGUCACAUACAAGUUGCUGAACUACUUCUGAAAGAGGGAGCUAAGGUGGAUGCUGCUGAUUUAUAUGGCUAUCAGGCCACACAUGUUGCAGCGCAGUAUGGUCAGACAGCAUUUAUUUAUCACAUUGUUGCAAAAUGGAAUGCCGAUCCGGAUGUCCCUGACAACGAUGGAAGAAGCCCAUUGCACUGGGCUGCUUACAAGGGGUUCGCAGAUUCGAUACGUCUUCUUUUGUAUUUGGAUGCUCAUAGAGUGCGGCAGGAUAAGGAAGGUUGUACUCCUUUACAUUGGGCUGCUAUCCGGGGUAAUCUAGAGGCAUGCACUGUGCUAGUUCAGGCUGGGAAAAAGGAUGACUUGAUGGUGAAAGACAAAACUGGUUUAACUCCAGCGCAGCUUGCUGCUGAUAAGAAUCAUCGACAAGUUGCAUUUUUUCUUGACAAUGCUAGAAGGGUACAUGACAGUGGAUGUAAUGGGAAUCCGACAUUUGCAAAGCUAUCAAAAGUAGGGCUUGCUCCUCUUCUUUGGUGUAUUGCUGUUGUAUUGCUUGCUACAUAUAUACAUUCUGUUAUAGCAGGACAAUAUAACAUGGGUAUGACACCAGCAUUUGGGCUAUUUGCAUGGUCCGGAGUUUUCGUUGCAACUGCUGGCUUGGUCAUGUUCUAUAAAUGUAGCAGGAAAGACCCUGGCUACAUCAGUGCGAAUACAAGAGACUCACAUAAUCAAAGGGAUGAUGAACCCUUGUUGAAGAUGGAGUUAGACAAUCCUGCACUUCUGACUGGUAACUGGUCACAGCUUUGUAUAACCUGCAAAAUUGUCAGACCUGUUCGUUCGAAACACUGUUCUACAUGUGAUCGCUGUGUUGAGCAGUUUGACCAUCACUGCCCCUGGGUAUCUAAUUGCGUCGGCAAGAAGAACAAAUGGGAAUUCUUCAUGUUCAUCACUCUAGAAGUAAUUGCAAUGAUCAUUACUGGUUCUGCUGCCAUCAUAAGGACUGUAAGUGACCCAGCUUCUCCAGCAUCCUUUGGCGAUUGGCUUGGCUAUUCUGUUGUUUACCAUACUGGAGCUGUUUCUUUUUUCAUGAUGGACCUUUUCAUUUUCUUUGGUGUUGCAUGUCUAACUGGAGUUCAAGCAUACCAGAUAGCAAGGAACAUCACAACCAACGAGAUGGCCAAUUCCAUGAGAUACACUUAUCUAAGAGGUCCAGCUGGCAGAUUCAGAAACCCGUUCGACCAUGGGGUGCGCAAGAACUGCUCAGACUUCUUGGUAAACGGGUACAAUGAGGACGUUGAGCGGCUCGAGCAUGCAUCACGCACUGACGAAGAAAUAGGAAUGAUACAGAUGACAAGUGCAGUCUCACAGAAUGGCGAGGGCCAUUCCCAUCAUGGUAAUUGCGAUGACCAUGCCUGUGCUGAUUCACAUGCCAACUCAAACUCUCACACUCAAGGUGGUUCCUCUCAGUGUUGCGACCACAGCAAGAAGAAUGAGAGGACACCAUUCGGCCUAGGACUCGGCCUUGGACGAAACAGUGCUUCCCGGCAGUAUAUCCGGAAUCUUCUUCCACUAUGA
rnacentral:rRNA from 1 species